GGGAGAAAGCAGGGGACCUUCGGGCCUUGCGCUAUCAGAUGAGCCUAGGUCGGAUUAGCUAGUUGGUGGGGUAAUGGCUCACCAAGGCGACGAUCCGUAACUGGUCUGAGAGGAUGAUCAGUCACACUGGAACUGAGACACGGUCCAGACUCCUACGGGAGGCAGCAGUGGGGAAUAUUGGACAAUGGGCGAAAGCCUGAUCCAGCCAUGCCGCGUGUGUGAAGAAGGUCCUCGGAUUGUAAAGCACUUUAAGUUGGGAGGAAGGGCAGUAAAUUAAUACUUUGCUGUUUUGACGUUACCGACAGAAUAAGCACCGGCUAACUCUGUGCCAGCAGCCGCGGUAAUACAGAGGGUGCAAGCGUUAAUCGGGAUUACUGGGCGUAAAGCGCGCGUAGGUGGUUCGUUAAGUUGGACGUGAAAUCCCCGGGCUCAACCUGGGAACUGCAUUCAAAACUGACGAGCUAGAGUAUGGUAGAGGGUGGUGGAAUUUCCUGUGUAGCGGUGAAAUGCGUAGAUAUAGGAAGGAACACCAGUGGCGAAGGCGACCACCU
rnacentral:rRNA from 1 species